CUAGCAUAAGAAAAAAUGAAGGUGAACUGGCCAAGCCUUGGGCAGAACCAGGUCAACAUGUGCACGUAAAGAGCAAAGAUCGAUCAUCUUCUUUUGUUUUUUUCUUCUUCCAACCUGCAGAUGAACUUCUCAGCCCAGGCUCUUUCCAUGGUUCAGUGAGGAGAAAUGGCCAUUUUUGGCAUGUGGUUUGUCAGGUCAGUGUGGAUAUUUGUCCUGGGAGAGGAUGAAUCAGCCUCCACCUGUGUGCCUGUGAAAGCACCUGUGGGUGAACAGCUCGGAUGUGCAUAUCCCAUGGGACUGAAGGAAACCUACCCACUGUGCACCAGACCUGUCUGCUACAGACAAUUUCUGGAACUGCCUGAACUCCUAGGUUUGUUUAAAUUUCAUGUUGCAUUUUCAGAAUAAAAGAUAACUGACCACCAGAACUCUCCUUGCCUUCUAAGAAGGCCAUUCCCAGCUGCUCCAGUGCUGUAAGACACGGGGCAUUGUUGAAAGCACCUGAGGUCCACGUGCUGCAGCAUGGUCUGGAGACAAGAUUUGUACACACCACACCAUUACUUCAUUUCCAAAUCAUCAUACCAGCAAUGUGUGAAGCUGUUUGGUACAAGAACUAUCUGCAUGUUGUACUCAUGCCUAAUGUUCAGCUCAAGAAAGGUGCUGAAUAUUCUGUGUAUUCAAAGAAAAUGCCACAAGAAGGUCUGCAGGCGCUUUACAAUCCUCCUCCAUUCAAAAGUGUCAAAUUAUGGCAAUAUUGAUAAAAGAGUGAUGUGAAUGGUUGUCUAGUCAAUCCCUAAACCAGUUAAUAUCUUUCUUUACUGCAUUGUAAAAGCCAAUUACUCUGAAGUUUUGGAGUGAAAUUUGCGAAGGGCAAUCUGAGUUGAUAAUGUUUAGAAAACAAAUUGGAAGAAGAUAAAGAUCCGUGUCCACCUGCCCGUGCUCGCUAUAAAAGUCGGUGCUGCUGCCCCUGUGCUGGCUCUGCUGCCUGUCAUCCUGCCCUGCUGGCACUGAUCAACAUUGUCUAGAGAUGAGUUGUGAGCAACAUCAAAUGUUUCAAACAAGAUUUUCUUCUUCUUUGUAAUUUUCUCAGCUCCUUUCUUAGCCACCAGCAGCUGCUUCUCCACAUUCUGUAAUUGGGUGUUGUAUUACUAGACCUGUAAUCUAUCUAUGAUGUAUAACACAGUAUUUGUUCUUAUCAAGUCCAGCAAAAACAUGAC
rnacentral:lncRNA from 1 species